GAAAAUAAUUUUGCACUUUUAAAUUUUUUUUUUUUCAAAAGCCAAAUACAUAUCACAUAUGAAAACCGAAAACCAAUAAAUCAAACCGUUGCCGGCGGAUCAUUCUCAUGUUACUUGUGUAAAAAUUUAAUCUAAACAAAACUCUUUAUAUUCAGAGAUCUUACUGUGGACCAGUUAAGGUCUCUUGAUCUACUGUACGGUUGAAACUGAAUAUGACGAACAGAGAUUCCGAUGAGCCGCGCACAUGCUCGGCCUCUACGCGUAUCCACACGGAAUCGGCGACCCGAUCGAUCUUCGUCUCACGAAUAGGAUGAGUCACGGACCAUCUGGACAGUGCUAGCAAUCCUUUCAUGAUCCACCAGUCGAUGAAGAGUAGAGAAGUUGAUCGGAGAGAAACACGUGUGCGCGCGGAGAGAAAUCGGAGAGAUUGAUCUCUAUAUGUAUAUAGAUCAAAAGGCUAACAUGCAUCAAAUUAAUUAAGAUGCACGGCAUCUUAAUUACCAUGCAUUCAAUCCAUAUGGCACUAUGUGCCGUACGUUUCAACUUUUUUUUUUUAAUUCAUUGUAUUUUCAUACAUACAUAUAAAUCUAUAUAUGUAUAUAUAAAAUCUUAUUUCAUAAAAUCUUAUCUAAUAAGAUUUUUCUCUCUCUCCAAUAAAAUUUAACAAUUAAAUAUUCAUGCUUAUCCAACUAAAUCAAAUCUAGUAAAAAUCUUUAUCUUAUAAGAUAUUAUGAAUAUUUAAUUAUUCUCUAAUCCAAUUAGAGAUAAAUAUUAAUCUCUCCAAUAUUUAAUUAGAUCUUAUCUAAUUUUGAUCUUAUCCAAUAAGAUUACUCACUAAUAUUUAAAUCUCAUUUAAAUAUCGUUUAUGAUUAAAUAUUAUCUACUAAUCUAAUUAGAGAUAAAUUUAAAUCUUGCGCAUAAUUCUCUAACUGAUUCUGAGAUCUUAAUCUAAUUAGGAUUAUCAGUUAUAACCGAAUCGAAUAAUUAAAUCUAAUUUAAUUAAGCAGCUUCCUUUUAUUUUUAUCGCUUACACUAAACUCUUUAGUGAACGAGUUUCAUCCAAACGAUUCAGGUGCACACAAUUCCUAAUGUGUGUGACCGCAUAGGUUCAUUACCAUUCUGCAGUGGAGCUCAAUAUCAAAUUCUUUGAUAUUUAAUUAGAACUCUUCUAAUCGAUAAAUAAGAACAAUUCAAUUCGAAUCAUUCAUAUUCUCUCACCGUUCAUGAGUGACACCUAGCAGUAUAUCACGGCAAUCCAGAAUGGUGAUGAAAAAUGAACCUUUCCGCUUACAAUUAUCAUGUGAUUAAUUCCUUCCAACAUACAACGUCCCAAUCGAACUAAAGUCAUGGUUACUCGCCAAACCUUAUCAUUCGACCAUAUGACUAGAAUAUCUGAAAUCAACUCAAUAUGGUAACACAGUUAGAAACUCUUUCUACAUACCAUGUACCCUGGCCAGGGGUUUUCCGAGUCAAGUCCGAUAGACUGCAUAGGACAUUCUCCCUCGUCAUUGAAAGUGUUGGAUUCCUUAUUGCGCAUUCACAUGCCUCCUCGUAUAAAUUACUACAGCCAAUCAGUACCGAACAUAGACCCGUGUCUAGAGUCUAAGUAUUAGAACUAUCAAACGGUAGCAACCUGUACGUGAAGCAACUAUGAUGCCUCAGGUUCGAGGAGUACUUCACACAACUGUAGCAAUGAACCUGUCACUGACGAGCAUGGAACCAUGUGACUGUUCAAUUAAAUAGUCACGCUCAGUGUACUUGUUCUCUAAUAAGCACAUGUAUGCUUGUUCUAGUGUCCCUACACUAGUGACUUGAGAUUCGUCAGCUCAAUUAGAAACAUAGCAUACACCGGCCUAUCCAGAAUAUCACCGUCCCUAUAAUAUUUCUCUGGCUAUGAGCAUUUAAAGAGUCUCAUACAGAAAAAUAAAUAUCUCAAAUUUCUAACUCUUAGAAAUAUGUCUUUUAAAACAAAAACUCUAUGGACGAUUCAUGUCAAAUAUUGAACUGCUAUACAAUAGACAUGAAUAGAAUAUUUGCCCUCAUAUUAUGAAUUAUAAACAAUUAAUACAUAAAUACCCUUAAGCUAGUGUCACCAUAUUGGCUUUUGGGCAUAUAACUAACAAUCUCCCACUUGCACUAAAGCCAAACACUCACAUAUCUUAUAUGCAUUAUUUAAAGUCAACUCUUUAACCCUUGAAGAGUAAGCUUUUUAGCUAGUGCAUCCACUGAACUAUUCAUGACUAUUAUAUUCUACUUAGCAAAGUUGUUGGGAGUAUAACUCAUUUCCAUUCACUAAAUACGUCUGGAUCAUUGAUGAGACCUAGGUUCUAUAUGAACCAUAUGGAGUUCUAAACUCCAUGAACCAAAACAUAUUCUAUAGUGCAUCUCAUGCAGCGCCACACUUAACCUUCAUGUUAUCUUGCUCAAGCUUUUCAAGCAACAACAACUCCAAUACAAUCUUAUAAAAUCUCUCUUUUCUCUCUUUAGUGUCAAUAUUUCACAAGUAAUAGAUAAUAUCUAUCAGUAACUGUUUGAGUAAAAAAUAAUAAUAAUAAAAUAUCAUUACUGUCGUUAUUAUUAUUUUUCUCAUAUAAUAAUAAAAUAAAAAAAGGGGGAAUUAGUUGAGAUCCACGAUUUAAAAGAGAUAUUAAUAAUAAAAAAAGGAAGGGAAAUUAGAUUCCCAUGUCCCAUAUCCUCUGUACGAUUAACAUUCGUUCUAUUACCCCACAAUCGGCGCCGUGAUCAACCUCCAACUACCCACGAUUACCCAACUAACCCACAUCCUCCGCGCGCCCCAUUACUCCACGAUCAACUUUCCAACUCCCCACGACUCCAUCAUUGACGUGAUCAAAAAAGAAGAGGGAGGGGAGGCCAUAAAUAUACCUGACACACAAAAAAAGGGGACGACUGUUUUUGAACUCUGAAGAAAACCUUCCACAAAUUUUUUUUCCCUGUUCCCGAAAGAGAAGAAAAAGAGGUAUUGGUAG
rnacentral:lncRNA from 1 species